GCAGUAGAAUGAGCUCCCAGAAAUGGCUGCUUCCAGUGUCGGGGUCCGCAGAGAAAGCCGCAGCCGCUCUUUACCUCUCCAGGAGACUGUCCAAGAGCAGCAGGAGACCCUGCCAUGGAGAAUGUGAAUUUUCAUCCUUGAAAACAUCCAUCAGAUGCUCAAAGUCCUGGGUUGGGAAGGAGGAGGCUCUAGGCAACCUCUGAGGCCCUUCUGAUACUAAGAUGACAGAGGCUGAAUUCUGGCAACAGCUGUUCUUUCCUUGGAUAUUGUUCCCUGCCUAAAGAAGGAACUCAGCAAAAGGCAGCGAAUUGGAUUUAGAGUCGCAACUUUCAAGAUGUUUAUUCAUCCAUCAUUCCAAGGACUUGAAUUUAUGGUGUGCGUUCCUUACCA
rnacentral:lncRNA from 1 species